rnacentral:lncRNA from 1 species
GACUGUCUGAAAACUAAGGUAUAGAAAAUAAGGGCAAGCCUAUGGUAUUUGAUGCACAUUGAACGAAACUUAUCUUCUGAGUGUGAGUGUCUCUUGACUGUCCCUACAUUGUCAUGCAUGAUUUCAUAUAAGUGAGUUGGACUUCUUUGUUGUGAGAGCACAUGAGUCAUAUUGCUAGCUAUUUGUUGUUUUGGGUAGUGUAACUUGUAUAUAUGUGUGGUUGUCUGUUGCUAAUGUAAUUGACAUACUUUGAUCCCAUUGUGUCACAUUGUUGUGCUUCAUAUUCAUAUACAAUUGGUUUUGAAAAGUG